GCGCCUGUAGCUCAGUUGGAUAGAGCAGCGGACUUCUAAUCCGCAGGCCGGGAGUUCGAAUCUCUCCAGGCGCGCCA
rnacentral:tRNA from 2 species